rnacentral:rRNA from 1 species
AAUCGUACCCCAAACCGACACAGGUGGUCAGGUAGAGAAUACCAAGGCGCUUGAGAGAACUCGGGUGAAGGAACUAGGCAAAAUGGUGCCGUAACUUCGGGAGAAGGCACGCUGAUAUGUAGGUGAAGUGAUUUACCCAUGGAGCUGAAAUCAGUCGAAGAUACCAGCUGGCUGCAACUGUUUAUUAAAAACACAGCACUGUGCAAACACGAAAGUGGACGUAUACGGUGUGACGCCUGCCCGGUGCCGGAAGGUUAAUUGAUGGGGUUAUCCGUAAGGAGAAGCUCUUGAUCGAAGCCCCGGUAAACGGCGGCCGUAACUAUAACGGUCCUAAGGUAGCGAAAUUCCUUGUCGGGUAAGUUCCGACCUGCACGAAUGGCGUAAUGAUGGCCAGGCUGUCUCCACCCGAGACUCAGUGAAAUUGAACUCGCUGUGAAGAUGCAGUGUACCCGCGGCAAGACGGAAAGACCCCGUGAACCUUUACUAUAGCUUGACACUGAACACUGAGCCUUGAUGUGUAGGAUAGGUGGGAGGCUUUGAAGCGUGGACGCCAGUCUGCGUGGAGCCAACCUUGAAAUACCACCCUUUAAUGGCUGGUGUUCUAACGUAGACCCGUAAUCCGGGUUGCGGACAGUGUCUGGUGGGUAGUUUGACUGGGGCGGUCUCCUCCUAAAGAGUAACGGAGGAGCACGAAGGUUAGCUAAUCCUGGUCGGACAUCAGGAGGUUAGUGCAAAGGCAUAAGCUAGCUUGACUGCGAGAGUGACGGCUCGAGCAGGUGCGAAAGCAGGUCUUAGUGAUCCGGUGGUUCUGAAUGGAAGGGCCAUCGCUCAACGGAUAAAAGGUACUCCGGGGAUAACAGGCUGAUACCGCCCAAGAGUUCAUAUCGACGGCGGUGUUUGGCACCUCGAUGUCGGCUCAUCACAUCCUGGGGCUGAAGUAGGUCCCAAGGGUAUGGCUGUUCGCCAUUUAAAGUGGUACGCGAGCUGGGUUUAGAACGUCGUGAGACAGUUCGGUCCCUAUCUGCCGUGGGCGCUGGAGAAUUGAGGGGGGCUGCUCCUAGUACGAGAGGACCGGAGUGGACGCAUCACUGGUGUUCGGGUUGUCAUGCCAAUGGCAUUGCCCGGUAGCUAAAUGCGGAAAAGAUAAGUGCUGAAAGCAUCUAAGCACGAAACUUGCCCCGAGAUGAGUUCUCCCUGAGACUUUAAGUCUCCUGAAGGAACGUUAAAGACUAUGACGUUGAUAGGUCGGGUGUGUAAGUGUAGCGAUACAUUGAGCUAACCGAUACUAAUGAACCGUGAGGCUUAACC